UUAAAUUGUACUACAAAUGCCCUCUUACACCAGUUCUGUCCAUCAUAGUAGUAAUAUAAAUGAUGCUACGUUCACACAGUUUCUCGCCUCUUAAACUGCUUAAGAACAGCACAGAUAAUUUUCCUAGCUUCUGUUCAAAAUAUAAGAUAAAUCACAUUACAAAGUCCAAAUCAAACAUGAAAACAUAACUAGCACCUGAAAAUUGCAUUAAGCUCAAAAGAAGUUACUUGGGGCCAUUAAGGUUCAAGAACCCCAGUCCCAAGAAACACUGCUACAUUCAUACCAGAUGAUCUACCAGUCCUUCCAGUCAGCACACUGGUACACAAGUACACAUAAUGUAUCAGCUAGUAUAUACUGCUUGACAUAAUUACUGCUGUGGCCCAUGCUCAAUGCUAUGGAAAAAAAAGCCAAAAGAUUCUGAAAUGAAAAAUUCAAUUAACAUGUGCUGCUAUUUCCUGCGAUUAUUGUGCUGCAGUAAGCUACUAGAGAAAGCACAUGUAUGGACAAUUCCUACAAACUUUGCAGCACCUCCUGGAAAUAGCAAUAACACGACAUUUGUGGACACAGUAAAUGUGCAAUGCACAUAACAACAUUGACAAAAGAAAGUGAGUAUGUGAAGGACUAAAUCAUGCACUUGUAGCUAAUAUUUAGUGUGGACUACUGUAAUAUAUAUAACCACACAAGUGUUCUUGUUUUUUCUUUUCAAAAAGAGGGGAAAGACCCUCGGCCUCUGCGCCGAGUGAUGCACACAGCCAGGCAAGUGUCUUGUUACCCUUGCACAUAACUACACUGACAUCAUGAUAAUACGAACCGCUAAGUGUUCUUGUUACACUGAAACUGCAAGAUGGAACCGCUAAGUGUUCUUGUUACACUGAAACUGCAAGAUGGGGCCUACAGGACAUAUUCUAUCCAUGUGCCACAUAAGACACGACAGAACAUGAGUUCCCAAAUCUUACUCUGAUUAUUAGUUCCCAAACAUGGAUAAUUAGUACUAUAUGAUGAGUUAAUGACUGACCAAAACUACAGUGAACGGACCAUCGACGUCGUAGAUCCGACAGAGAAGUACAAUAAUCACCCCUUACCAUAACCUGUAGCCUAGCGCCACUAACGACAACAAUCGAGGAAAAAAAUCAAUUGAUCACAUUCACACCUAAGCACACACCCGUACGCUAGGUGGGUGAAAUCUGAUCGUGGAAUUCAAAAGAACACCUGCAAAGAUCCCCUAGACUCGCAACAAUGCACUAAUCAAAUCGGCAAUCGGGCAGAUCAGAGCCCCCAAUCAACCACAAACGUCAACACCUAGAGGCGCCUCGAUCGCUGUCCAUCAAUCAAAAACUCAAAAUCCGGGACCAGGAGGAGGAAGGAACAACGAUCGCCCCCCUCUUGCCCCUGGGCCUCCAGCCCACCGCACCGCCCCGCCACCACGGCCCACCACCUCCGCGGAGAUCCCAUAUAUACGGAGGAUCAACCACCUACGCGCACGGUCGGACGUGGCCAUGAAUUCCGAGG
rnacentral:lncRNA from 1 species